rnacentral:misc_RNA from 1 species
CCCAACUAUCCCUAUUAAUCAUUACAGCGGUCCUAGAAACCAACAAAAUAGAACCGAUGUCCUAUUCUAUUAUUCCAUGCUAAUGUAUUCGAGCAAAGGCCUGCUUUGAACACUCUAAUUUUUUCAAGGUAAAAGUCCUGGUUCCCCACGACACCCAGUAAAGGGCAUCGGGUUUCCCAGAAGGUGAGAAAUUGACUACACCAGUUCAUACCCCUUAAGGCACGACCGAUGUGUCAAUCCCGAAAUUCAACUACGAGCUUUUUAACUGCAACAACUUUAAUAUACGCUAUUGGAGCUGGAAUUACCGCGGCUGCUGGCACCAGACUUGCCCUCCAA